rnacentral:lncRNA from 1 species
UAGGUGUGCUCGCGAGAAAGCGGAAAUACGCUUCCUCAGUUUGAACACCUUGCUACGGGACCCUGGCUUGGUCAUGAUUUAUCGAGGCGCGUUCUCACUCUAAGGAAAGAAUAGUUGUUCGAUUGUAGUUCCCCCUGGUGGCCAAAGGCAGAGCGCGGACUGUUGCUGAAAAGAAAGGAAGCGAUUACAGAGCCCUAGGUUUAUAGGACUUGUCCCAGGUUCUACAUCUGAGAAUAAUACUACUGGCUCGCUUUCUGUGGGCUGAAUACCAUGCUGAUUGUGAGAACAUCAGAGCAGCAGUCGGUCACAAUCAGAGAUACACCAGAGUGGGAAGCAAGAUUUGUUUUCCUUGGUGAACCCCUAUUCAGGGCUGCUCGAGUCCCCAUUGCACCUCCUUUUUGCAGGUAAGUUUUAUUCACUCUUAAUUCUACUUCAUUGCUCCUCUGUCCUUCUAUCUGCUCUCUCUAAGGCUGUCAGUUAUUGUCAUUGUCCAGUGGUCAUUUGACCAUCACUAAUAGUGACUCAAACAGAAGUUGUCUGUUUUGUUUUGCAAUAUGAAUAUCAUUUUAUCUCCCAGAAAGUAUUCUAACCCCAAGGGUUUAACUCACCUUUCUCACAUCUUUAGUUAGAACUUUCAGUUUUCAGGAAAUACAGAGGACAAAAGAUCAAGUAAAGGGCAUCCCGAGGAACCAGUAAAUACAGGAAGUGGACUUUUCUUCAGGAUAGCGGCCAGUUCUCUUCAUCAAGUCAAUCAUACGAAAGCGAUAACGCUUAAUUCAAAGAGAAACUGAGGACAUAAGGUCCUUGAGUUGGAGGCUUGUUAUGAUUCUGAUCUUAAAUAUACCCAAAGUCUUGAGUGCUAAAGGCUUGGUUAACAGCCUGUGGGCUCUUGGGAGGCAGUGAAACCUUUAGGUGGGGCCUACUGGAAGGAGAUUAGGUCACUGGGUGCAUGCUCUUGAGCUGGAUAUUGGGGCCCUGGUGCUUCUUUGCUUCUUAGCCUCCAUAGGUGUGCAGCUUUGGUAUUACCUACCAUUAUGUUAUGUCUCAUCAUAGGCC